GACGAAGGGGGCUAGCGUUGUUCGGAAUUACUGGGCGUAAAGCGCGUGUAGGCGGUUAUCCAAGUCGGGUGUGGAAGCCUUGAGCUCAACUCAAGAAAUGCAUUCGGUACUGGGUGACUAGAGGACCGGAGAGGAUAGUGGAAUUCCCAGUGUAGUGGUGAAAUACGUAGAGAUUGGGAAGAACACCAGUGGCGAAGGCGGCUAUCUGGACGGUUUCUGACGCUAAGACGCGAAAGCGUGGGGAGCAAACAGG
rnacentral:rRNA from 1 species